GACGAACGCUGGCGGCGUGCCUAAUACAUGCAAGUCGAACGCAGUGGGGACGGGUGAGUGACACGUGGGUAACCUCCCAUCAGAGGGGAUAACACUUGGAAACAGGUGCUAAACCGAAAUUGAUGGAUGGAGCAGCGGGGCCUUAGCUAGUUGGUGGGGUAACGGCUCACCACGGCAACGAGGCAUAGGCGACCUGAGAGGGUGAUCGGCCACACUGGGACUGAGACACGGCCCAGACUCCUACGGGAGGCAGCAGUAGGGAAUCUUCGGCAAUGGACGAAAGUCUGACCGAGCAACGCCGCGUGAGUGAAGAAGGUUUUCGGAUCGUAAAACUCUGUUGUUAGAGAAGCGGUAUCUAACCAGAAAGCCACGGCUAACUACGUGCCAGCAGCCGCGGUAAUAC
rnacentral:rRNA from 1 species